GGGAAGGCCCCCUAGCUCAGCGGGAGAGUAUCUGCUUUGCAUGCAUAAGGUCCCGGGUUCAAAACCCACCAGCCUCUCCA